GAAGUGCCGUCCUGUAACUUAAUAAUGCAGAUAGUUAGAAAUUCAGGCCUCUGUCAUUUCACUGCGGUGGGCUAAAAGAGAAAGGCUAAUGCUAAAUUCUGCGAGUCCUGGCUCACUCAACUGUGCUUUAUUCCAAACCGCCAAUCUAAACAGCCUGGUGAGCUGAAAACCUAAUUGUCGUCUUUCAACUGAUGGAAUGAAAUAAUGACCGAAGCACUGAAUGAAAAGGUAAACAAAAGAGUUUGAGCUUUGGCUUCUCCAUAGGUGCUGUUAAUGCUGUUCUGCUUGACUAGCAAGAGAUGGGCUUUCAGAUUUCACAUGUGGACAUUUAUCUGCCCUCUAACUCCAGAAUUCAGUGGCCUCACUUUCCAGUUCACUCAGCUGCUGACAAUGCCCAUCUUCAGAUAAUGAAGAGCUGUAAAUUCAGGACACAGAAUCAAAAGCCAGGAGAAGCCAUAAACGAUCACUCAUUCAAAUACCUAUCAAG